GGGUUGAUCUUGCUGCCAUAUCUGAUAUUCCAAUGAUUGCCAGGAUUGAUUUGGCUAAUCUGGCUUGCUAAGUGCAAGUGUCCACUGAUCUCAUCAUUCUAUUACAGUCCUUCCUGAAGUUGUGCUGCUUUGGUCAAAGGGAACAACAUUUCCAGAGUGAGUCAAGGCUAAAUCAAUUAAUGAGUUCCACUUUUGGAGUAAAAGAAAGCACUUAACCACAGUUCCCAGCUCUGAACUUGCACUAACAGAUUCCAGGAAAGGGGAUUGUCGUGUACACUAGAGUGUAAUCUAGUUCAGUGUCACU
rnacentral:snRNA from 1 species